GGCUCGGUGGCGGAUGGUCUGCGCCUGCAACAAUUCAUGUUAUUUUAAUCGUGGAGUAGGAAUCCCUCGUUCAAUUCGAGGCUGAGCCA